UACGUAGGGUGCAAGCGUUAAUCGGAAUUACUGGGCGUAAAGCGUGCGCAGGCGGUUAUGUAAGACAGAUGUGAAAUCCCCCGGGCUCAACCUGGGAACUGCAUUUGUGACUGCAUAGCUAGAGUACGGUAGAGGGGGAUGGAAUUCCGCGUGUAGCAGUGAAAUGCGUAGAUAUGCGGAGGAACACCGAUGGCGAAGGCAAUCCCCUGGGCUGACACUGACGCUCAGGCACGAAAGCGUGGGGAGCAAACAGG
rnacentral:rRNA from 1 species